rnacentral:tRNA from 1 species
GGAGGACUAGUCUAACGGUAAGGCAGCGGACUUGAAAUCCGCCGGGUUUAGGCCCAUCGGGGUUCGAAUCCCCGGUCCUCCG